CGCUUCGUCCACAAGGCCGUACUGGGGCCGGACCCACCACCACCACCACACUUUCAUCAUCUCCUGUGAAUCCGCCUUCACCUUUGCAAUCGCCUUUGCCUAAGUCGAACCGGUUCGUGCCUCCACAUCUUAGACCGGGAUUUGUAGGCAGGGAAGAGAAACCGGUGCCGGAUGUAGCGAAGGGUGGUCAGGGAGUGAGAGGUAGACCGGAGGUUGGGGCUGGGCAGCAUCAUCAUCAAGGAUAUCCUGGGUCGUCACCUAAUAGGUACGGAGAGAACGGUAGGC
rnacentral:lncRNA from 1 species